AUAUACAGCCAUAUCGUCCUACAGCCCAAGACUGGUUACUCACUGAAGCUAAGCAGGGCUGAGCCUGGCUAGUAACUCGAUGGGAGACCACAUGGGAAAAACAAGGUUGCUGUUGGAA
ensembl:rRNA 5S_rRNA 5S ribosomal RNA